UACCAGCACCCCGAGUGGUCGGGACGUUUAUUGGGCCUAAAGCAUCCGUAGCCGGUUCUACAAGUCUUCCGUUAAAUCCACCUGCUUAACAGAUGGGCUGCGGAAGAUACUAUGGAGCUAGGAGGCGGGAGAGGCAAGCGGUACUCGAUCGGGUAGGGGUAAAAUCCGUUGAUCCAUUGAAGACCACCAGUGGCGAAGGCGGCUUGCCAGAACGCGCUCGACGGUGAGGGAUGAAGCGGGGAGCAACCGG
rnacentral:rRNA from 1 species